GACAAUUCCUCUGUCUCUUCCUCACAUCAUCUCGUUUGCCUCACAGAUCUAGCGCGCCGUUGCCGGUCGAGCACCGGGAUGCCAUGGACAGGAAGGUUUCUUCCUCCCCUGUCUGGAUGCCAUGAACGACGCAGCUCCACCACUACCCCAUGGAGACGGAGCUCCUCCCACAUAACGCAUGGAGCCUCCGUCCCAGCGCCCAGGGCCCUAGAGGGAAAGGAAUUCAAGGCUAUGGCCGGAGAGAGACGAGCUGCUCCUAGUACAGGACGCCAUGGAAGGUGCUGCUCUGAUGAGGAGAAACUGCUGUUGAAGGACGUCCUCCUCCCCUCCCCUCCUCCUACCCCCACACGUGGUUAUGAUGAUAUUUCCAAGGAAAUAUACUGACCCUGAUGUGACGAAGGGAAGGCCAAAGAAAGAAAACACAAAAACAGUAGCAUGCACCUGCCAAGCCUUGAUGAGACUACACCGUACAGCGGAAAAUGGAUGGUAUAUACACGAUUUCAGACAUGAACACAACCACCAUUUGUCAUCAUCGUGUGGCGAGAAACUACAUUGGCCAUCACACAGGAACAUUGACACACACACCAAAGAUAUAGUGAAAUGAUGUGCUCUAUGUUCAUCCUGCUGUGUUAUU